GACGAACGCUGGCGGCGUGCUUAACACAUGCAAGUCGAACGGAAAGGCCCUGCUUUUGUGGGGUGCUCGAGUGGCGAACGGGUGAGUAACACGUGAGUAACCUGCCCUUGACUUUGGGAUAACUUCAGGAAACUGGGGCUAAUACCGGAUAGGAGCUCCUGCUGCAUGGUGGGGGUUGGAAAGUUUCGGCGGUUGGGGAUGGACUCGCGGCUUAUCAGCUUGUUGGUGGGGUAGUGGCUUACCAAGGCUUUGACGGGUAGCCGGCCUGAGAGGGUGACCGGCCACAUUGGGACUGAGAUACGGCCCAGAGGCCUAUGGGAGGCAGCAGUGGGGAAUAUUGCACAAUGGGCGGAAGCCUGAUGCAGAAACGCUGCGUGCGGGAUGACGGCCUUCGGGUUGUAAACCGCUUUCGCCUGUGACGAAGCGUGAGUGACGGUAAUGGGUAAAGAAGCACCGGCUAACUACGUG
rnacentral:rRNA from 1 species